rnacentral:rRNA from 1 species
AUUGAACGCUGGCGGCAUGCUUUACACACGCAAGUCGAACGGCAGCACGGGGGCAACCCUGGUGGCGAGUGGCGAACGGGUGAGUAAUGCAUCGGAACGUGCCCUGUCGUGGGGGAUAACACAUCGAAAGAUGUGCUAAUACCGCAUACGACCUGAGGGUGAAAGCGGGGGACCGUAAGGCCUCGCGCGAUAGGAGCGGCCGAUGUCUGAUUAGCUAGUUGGUGGGGUAAAGGCCUACCAAGGCGACGAUCAGUAGCUGGUCUGAGAGGACGACCAGCCACACUGGGACUGAGACACGGCCCAGACUCCUACGGGAGGCAGCAGUGGGGAAUUUUGGACAAUGGGGGCAACCCUGAUCCAGCCAUGCCGCGUGCGGGAAGAAGGCCUUCGGGUUGUAAACCGCUUUUGGCAGGAACGAAACGGUGCGGGCGAAUACCCUGUGCUAAUGACGGUACCUGCAGAAUAAGCACCGGCUAACUACGUGCCAGCCGCCGCGGUAAAAC